CAACUAGGCACAAUGACAUGUUUUGAGAUAAUAAGAAAAGACCGGCUUUUAUAACCUAAACACUAAUGAAUCCCUCAAAAAUAUAUAGAACAAAAUACUAGUCUGUUUUGUUAUAAAGGGCUUUCGCCAAAUUUUUACCGAGCCUACAGAAAUAAUCGGAAAAAUAAGUGACUAUUUGAAUACAACCAGUAGAAACUCAAGCUUGGAUCUAAAGUUUCUCAUUUACAAAAGGCUAAAAUGGUAUGCUAGUUCAAACUGUUGCGUUCGGAACUCCUUCAGCCGAUGAAUUGGCUAUAAACAAUUUUGUAGCACAAAGUAACCAACAUUCAGGCCUGAUAAAUGCUCUUACUACGGCUGAAUUAUUGAAUAUUGUGGGCGAGAAAUAUAAAAAUUAUGUGCAUAUUUAUCUCGGAGCAAAC